rnacentral:rRNA from 1 species
UACGGAGGGUGCGAGCGUUGUCCGGAUUUAUUGGGUUUAAAGGGUGCGUAGGCGGCUCUCUAAGUCCGGGGUGAAAGCCCGUUGCUCAACAACGGAACUGCCCUGGAUACUGGGGAGCUUGAGUACAGACGAGGUUGGCGGAAUGGACCGAGUAGCGGUGAAAUGCAUAGAUACGGUCCAGAACCCCGAUUGCGAAGGCAGCUGACUAGGCUGUUACUGACGCUGAGGCACGACAGCGUGGGGAGCGAACAGG